GGAACUUACCCGACAAGGAAUUUCGCUACCUUAGGACAAUUAUAGUUAUUGCCGCCGUUUACCGGGGCUUCAUUUCUGACCUUCGCCAAUAUCGAAACGAUACGAGCUAAGCCAUCCAUUUAACCUUCCGGCACCGGGCAGGUGUCAGUCCAUAUACGUGGUAUUACUACUUUGCAUAGACCUGUGUUUUUGAUAAACAGUCGCUUGGGCCUCUUCACUGCGACCAUCGAAAGCUCGAAGAGCGAGUCCUUUCACCUUCAAUGGCACCCCUUCUUCCGAAGUUACGGGGCUAUUUUGCCGAGUUCCUUAACCAGAGUUAUCUCGAGCACCUUAGGAUACUCUCCUCGUCUACCUGAGUCGGUUUGCGGUACGGACCGAUAUAGAGUUAACGUUUAGAGAUUAUUUCUUGGCAGCUUUAUAGAGGAACUUCUGCCACUUAUGUGGCUCGUAUUCGCUUCUCGGUUAUAGAUGAGUGGAUUUUCCUGCUCAUCCAACCUACCAGCUUAAAACUGGGCGUCCAACACCAGUCUUCCUCGCAUAACUGCGUCAUCCCAUCACUGUCUAUAUCGGGUAGCAGAAUUUUGACUGCUUUCCCAUCGACUACGCCUUUCGGCCUCGCCUUAGGGUCCGACUAACCCUGAGCAGAUUAACUUUACUCAGGAAACCUUAGACUUACGGUGUCUCGGUUUCUCACCGAGAUUCUCACUACUCAUGCCGGCAUAAUCUCUUCUGAUAGCUCCAGCAUACCUUCCGGUACAUCUUCGCAGCCUUACAGAAUGCUCUUCUACCACUUUCCGAUUACUCGGAAAAUCCAUAGCUUCGGUAAUACACUUAGUCCCGAUCAUCUUCGGUGCAAAACCACUCGACCAGUGAGCUAUUACGCACUCUUUAAAUGAAUGGCUGCUUCUAAGCCAACAUCCUGGCUGUUUUUGCAAUUUAACAUCCUUUGUCACUCAGUGUAUAUUUAGGGACCUUAGCUGAUGGUCUGGGGUGUUUCCCUUUCGCCUACGGAGCUUAUCCCCCGCAGACUGACUCCCAUGCAUCAAUUAACGGCAUUCUUAGUUUGAGUGGGGUUGGUAGCCUUUUAGGGCCCCUAGCCCAAUCAGUGCUUUACCUCCGUUAAUCUAACAUGAGGCCCUGCCUAAACAGAUUUCGAAGAGAACCAGAUAUCUCUGAGUUUGUUUGGCCUUUCACCCCUACCCACAGCUCAUCCAAUGACUUUUCAACGUCAACUGGUUCGGUCCUCCAGCUUGUGUUACCAAGCCUUCAACCUGGCCAUGAGUAGAUCACUCAGUUUCGGGUCUACUCCUGACAACUUAACGCCCUAUUCAGACUCGCUUUCGCUUUGGCGAAGGUCAGAAAUGAAGCCCCGGUAAACGGCGGCAAUAACUAUAAUUGUCCUAAGGUAGCGAAAUUCCUUGUCGGGUAAGUUCCGACCUGCACGAAUGGUGUAACGACUUGGGCGCUGUCUCAACCAGGGACUCGGUGAAAUUGCAGUGGCGGUGAAGAUGCCGCCUACCCGCGAAAGGACGGAAAGACCCCGUGAACCUUUACUGCAUUUUGAUAUUGUAUUUUGGUGUUGUUUGUGUAGGAUAGGUGGGAGGCUUUGAAGCUUCGACGCUAGUCGAGGUGGAGCCAACGUUGAAAUACCACCCUAAUAAUAUUGGAAUACUAACUCGUGCCUUUAUGAGGUAUGAGGACAGUGUCUGAAGGGCAGUUUGACUGGGGCGGUCGCCUCCUAAAAUGUAACGGAGGCGUACAAAGGUUCCCUCAGCGUGAUUGGUAACCACGCGUAGAGUGUAAAGGCAUAAGGGAGCUUAACUGCAAGACCGACGGGUCAAGCAGAUGCGAAAGCAGGUCUUAGUGAUCCUAUCCCACCGCAUGGAAGGGGGAUAGCUCAACGGAUAAAAGGUACUCCGGGGAUAACAGGCUGAUAGCGCCCGAGCGUCCAUAGCGACGGCGCUGUUUGGCACCUCGAUGUCGGCUCAUCACAUCCUGGGGCUGAAGAAGGUCCCAAGGGUAUGGCUGUUCGCCAUUUAAAGUGGUACGCGAGCUGGGUUCAGAACGUCGUGAGACAGUUCGGUCCCUAUCCUUCGUGGGCGUGAGAUGUUUGAGGAGAUCCGCAUUUAGUACGAGAGGACCAAUGUGGACAGACCUCUGGUGUAACGGUUGUGACGCCAGUUGCAUUGCCGUAUAGCUAUGUCUGGAAUGGAUAACUGCUGAAAGCAUAUAAGCGGGAAGCCAACUCCAAGAUUAGACAUCUUUUAGACUCCUUGUAGACGACAAGGUUGAUAGGUUACAGGUGUAAGUACAGCAAUGUAUUUAGCCGAGUAAUACUAAUUAGUCGAAGCCUUACUUUU
rnacentral:rRNA from 1 species